rnacentral:rRNA from 1 species
CAGCAGCCGCGGUAAUACCGGCGGCCCGAGUGGCGGCCACUAUUAUUGGGCUUAAAGCGUCCGUAGCCGGGUUGGUUAGUCUCCCGGGAAAUCUGGCCGCUUAACGGUCAGAAUUCCGGGAGAUACUGCCAGCCUAGGGACCGGGAGAGGCCGAGGGGAUUCCCGGAGUAGGGGGGAAAUCCUAUAAUCCCGGGAGGACCACCUGUGGCGAAGGCGCUCGGCUGGAACGGGUCCGACGGUGAGGGACGAAGGCCAGGGGAGCAAACCGGAUUAGAUACCCGGGUAGUCCUGGCUGUAAACGAUGCGGACUUUGUGUCGGACAAGCUAUGAGCUUGUCCGGUGCCGGAGGGAAACCGUUAAGUCCGCCGCCUGGGGAGUACGGCCGCAAGGCUGAAACUUAAAGGAAUUGGCGGG